rnacentral:rRNA from 1 species
UCUACUCGGCGUUCCGCGCCGCCGGAUAACCGUAGUAAUUCUAGGGCUAAUACGUGCGAAGCGCCCGAAGCCGCGAGGCGACGGGCGUUCUCGCCGGAUGUAGGAACCGACCCGGGGACCGCCGGGGCAACCCGGCGCCCCCGAGACGGGGCGAACCACGGUGAAAUGACGGAUCGUCGGCCCCGCGCCGGCGACUCGCCGAAUGAGUUUCUGACCUAUCAACUCGAGACGGCGGGGUAGAGGCCCGCCGCGGUAACGACGGGUAACGGGGAAUCAGGGUUCGAUUCCGGAGAGGGAGCCCGAGAAACGGCUACCACUUCCAAGGAAGGCAGCAGGCGCGCAACUUACCCUAAUCUCGAUUCGAGGAGGUAGUGACAAGAAAUACCGAUGCGGGACCCUACGGGUGCCGCGUUCGGAAUGAGUACGAUUCGAACCACCUAACGAGGAACG